rnacentral:rRNA from 1 species
UAUGAGAGUUUGAUCCUGGCUCAGGACGAACGCUGGCGGCGUGCCUAAUACAUGCAAGUCGAACGCUUUUUCUUUCACCGGAGCUUGCUCCACCGAAAGAAAAAGAGUGGCGAACGGGUGAGUAACACGUGGGUAACCUGCCCAUCAGAAGGGGAUAACACUUGGAAACAGGUGCUAAUACCGUAUAACACUAUUUUCCGCAUGGAAGAAAGUUGAAAGGCGCUUUUGCGUCACUGAUGGAUGGACCCGCGGUGCAUUAGCUAGUUGGUGAGGUAACGGCUCACCAAGGCAACGAUGCAUAGCCGACCUGAGAGGGUGAUCGGCCACACUGGGACUGAGACACGGCCCAGACUCCUACGGGAGGCAGCAGUAGGGAAUCUUCGGCAAUGGACGAAAGUCUGACCGAGCAACGCCGCGUGAGUGAAGAAGGUUUUCGGAUCGUAAAACUCUGUUGUUAGAGAAGAACAAGGAUGAGAGUAAAAUGUUCAUCCCUUGACGGUAUCUAACCAGAAAGCCACGGCUAACUACGUGCCAGCAGCCGCGGUAAUACGUAGGUGGCAAGCGUUGUCCGGAUUUAUUGGGCGUAAAGCGAGCGCAGGCGGUUUCUUAAGUCUGAUGUGAAAGCCCCCGGCUCAACCGGGGAGGGUCAUUGGAAACUGGGAGACUUGAGUGCAGAAGAGGAGAGUGGAAUUCCAUGUGUAGCGGUGAAAUGCGUAGAUAUAUGGAGGAACACCAGUGGCGAAGGCGGCUCUCUGGUCUGUAACUGACGCUGAGGCUCGAAAGCGUGGGGAGCGAACAGGAUUAGAUACCCUGGUAGUCCACGCCGUAAACGAUGAGUGCUAAGUGUUGGAGGGUUUCCGCCCUUCA